CCGGCUCUCGCCCCUCUUCUCUCUCGCUCUUUCUCUCCCCUCUCUCGGGGCUUCCGUCAUCGCCCGGGCAUUUCCGCCGGGAAGAGGCGAGCAGGCGGCGCCGCCGCGGCGCGGCACGCGAGGAGCAGCACAGCGCCCUCGCGUGGCUCGGCGGAGAAACGGCCCGAGGGGCCAAGGGUCGCGCCUUCUCCCCUCUUCCCUUUUGUCCCCUUUCCCACCCCGGGCCUCAGACCAAGCUCUCCUGGCUCUCGCUUCCUAUCCUGCUCUCUAGAGGAACUUUGUCCUCACUUGAGCCUCCUGCAGUGGUUCUUCAGCACUUUGGACAGGGAAUUGGGACCGCUUGGGCUUUCCAUGGACAACGUUGUCUUCACAGGAUCCUAGCACUCCACGUAGACGGAAGACUAUUUUCAACGUCCUGGCUGAAAGGGUUCUUGUUGCCAUGGAGCUGGAAGACAAAAAACCACAAAGAUUUAUAUGAAUUAAUGA